UAUAACAUUAAUUCACGACACACGAACGUUUUGUGGCGAUUAAUAGCAUCGUUGUUCAUGUGUUCAAAAUUUUUUCAAAUUUCGCGCGCUUAGAUUUCGACUUUUUUUUUUUUUCCGAGGUCAAGACAUUGUACGCCUCAACUAUUUAUGUACAUUAUAUUUACCUAAUUUUUUUUUAAUAUUUGAAAGCGUAAAUUCAGGUUUUUAGUUAGAAAGCGCGAUGCGCAAAUGCGGUAUACGUCUGCGGGGCUGAUACCACGUGGUAUCACUUUUUCUUGUUUUGCGGUUGCUGCACGUCGCCUCGCCGCGUCGCGAAGGGCCGAGCAGGCCGAGUUUGAGUGAAUUUUUCCCUUGUUUGAAGUGUGCUUGCGCCUUGUGCUCGUCCUGUGUGUUCUGCCGGUGCUGCUUAUUACGAGGAUGCGCUAUACUCAAGCGAAGACCGGCUGCUUCAUAUCGUGGAGCACUCACCAGCCUAUACGUGCUCCUUGUACAAAGUGAGUGUGAAAGAAAUCCGGACAAGCCUGUCAUCAAUGGUGGCUCAUGGACAAGUUCGUUGCUGAUGUACAGCAGCUGCGCAUGGCUUCUGUUUCCUGUACAAGGGGAACUGCACUGAGAACAGCGGAGUGGGCACUUCAACCACCUGUUUGCUGUAUUCAAGUAGCUCACAUGUAGAGGGUGUUCAAAAUUAAGCUUUUUGUUUUUCUUAUAAAAAAGUCCGCACUGUAAGUCACGUCAAAGCCAUCUUUGCAGAUAAGUUAUUAUCCGGGGGGACACAAAGUGGGACAAUAAUUAUCGCUGUCAGCCGUGCAAUUAACUGAGAUUUAAUAAUGAACUUUUUUAGUGACUGCAGCAAGCGGGCAUGUAUGUAUGAGCCAGCUGCAUUUCUACACGAUUCCACUUCAAAGAAUUCUUCUAGCAUGUCUGGGCUCAGAUAUCCUGCUGCAAAGUUUAAUUCCGGCUUGCAUCAUUACACAUGCAGGACCUUGAGCACUGGCACAAAGCUCUUCCCUGAUGUGCCAGGUUUAAUGUUACAGCGGGUAGAAGGCAUAGGCAAACAUGAUAACGGUUACCCUUUCCCUGCGGGCUGGUGAUAGCAAGCAGUGACUGCUCGUCACACCAGGAGUAAUAUUUUGCUGAUCCUCACCGCCUUGUAUCAUGCAAACCACAAUUAAACUUUGCAGCGGGAUAUCUCGCAGCACAGACAUGCUAGAAGAAUUCUUCCAAGUGGAACUGUGUAGAAACAUGACUGCCUCCAACUUUUCAAUACAAAGAUGCCCGCUUGCUGUAGUCACAAAAAAUUUCAUUAUUUAAUCUUAGUUAAUUGGGCGGCUGACAGCGGUAAUGUCUUACUUUGUGUCCCCAUGGACACAUAACUUACCUGCAAAGUUGGUUUUCAUAUUUUUCCCAGGGCUGAAUUUUAAUGCAACCAUAAAGCACAAUCCUGAAUGUGUCAAUGCUGCUUCCUUAGCUUUGUAUUUUCUAUUGAGUGAGCGGCUUUCUCGACUCGUGUGUCAUGUUUUAAUUCAUAUCUUAUGUGCAGUUAUCAGUUUUAAAAUUGAACUUUCAAUUUUAUGAUAAGGCAGUAGUGCAUCAAUUCACUAUUUUAUUUUCACCUUAAUAUUCACCGUACAUUUUGUAAUAUUUUUUUUUCAUCAGAAUCAAUUUUUUUAUUUUAUUUGUACAAGUACCUGCAGCGCCACGAGGGCAUUAUUGCAGGGGGAACUGCAAUAAUGCUUUUCUAAUCAUACGUAUUCCAUUGUCUUUCGGAAAUUCAUUUCCUAAGUGCAAUCAUGUGAUGUCCUGCUAUGAUGCCUAAUCAUAUUUAACUUUGUUAUUGAUAACUUCCAGAAGGCAUUCUGAAAUAUUGAAAUGUAAGUCUCGACAUUGGGAGAUGAAUGGUGGCGACAUCUUUUAAACUACACUAUUUUGUCUGCUUGCUUUAGUUGUGUGAAGUAUAGUAAUAAUAAGUGUUUGGAUUUAACCACAAUAUGAUUAUGAGGGAUGUCGUAGUGGAGGGCUCCUGAAAUUUCGACCACCUGCGUUCUAUAAGGUGCACCUAAAUCUAAGUAGAUGGGCCUCAAACAUUUCUUCCUCGAUCGAAAAUGUGGCCACCACGGCCGGGAUUUGAUCGCGUGACCUUCGGUUCAGCAGUCAAGGGUGACUUACAGUGUACUACUUUUGUGUGGGCUGUAGUUUGCUUUAAAUUAUGCAUGCUAAGUAUGGCAUUUUGGUGCCAACCACGCAUCUCUGGUAGUGCACUGAUGUUGUGUUUGCCACAUUCCUAAUUUAUUGCAGUAUUUAAUUUUAGCAUGCAAUUAUUGUGAGCAGCUCUGGGUAGCGCACUGACGUUUGUCACAUUCCUCAUUUAUUGCAGUAUUUUUUAUUUGUGUAUUUAUUCUGAGUUUGUUGUGAAGUUAUGAUUGUUCCACUUCUUCCACUCUAGAAGGUUGCAUACAUUUGUAAUUAACCCAUGAAGCCCAACAAGUCACUCUGAUACACUUAGGUGUGCAAAGCUUAUCUAAGAAGCCCAUAGUGUUUAUAAUGCCUUGGGGAGUGCCUCUUGGUCAUAAAUUGCUGUCAUGAUGAGUUUCUUAAAACAUUUGUUUUUGCGUUUUUCAGAAAUGAAUGUACUCUUCAUUACCAAAAAAGAUGCAGAACAAGUUAAACCUUUUAAAAUGUUAAUGAUGUGUUGAGGCGUUAUGGGGUUAAGGCUGAUCUGUUAAUCUUAUUUUUCUUCAACCGCCGACAUAUGUACGUUGCCAGUUUGAAUAUUGUCUAUGAAGUGCUCUAAUCUGUACAGUGUAAAUGAUAAUAAAUGAGUAAUAUUGCAGA